CCAUACCAGCCGGGGGAGCAGCGGGUCCCUGUACUCGAAGUCCGCUACAGCGAGGGUGGAUUCCCGAUCCGAGGCUUGAGCUUGCGUAGUCUGUACUGUACGGACCGUGUUGACGAAUGGGUCCUGCGCGAUGGGCAGCUGUGAACCAUGUCAGGUGGGGAACCAAGCAGCAUUAAGCAGUGUUGGUCCAUGUGCCGCAGGGCAGCCUGUUCUGAGCGGAAACUACAGUGUCGUAUGUGAUCCUCAAGUCGACGUUCGGGUGUAUGG
rnacentral:SRP_RNA from 1 species